UGAGGAAUAUUGGUCAAUGGGCGCAAGCCUGAACCAGCCAUCCCGCGUGCAGGAAGACGGCCCUAUGGGUUGUAAACUGCUUUUCCAGGGGACGAAUAGUUUCUACGUGUAGGGACAUGACGGUACCUUGGGAAUAAGCAUCGGCUAACUCCGUGCCAGCAGCCGCGGUAAUACGGAGGAUGCAAGCGUUAUCCGGAUUCAUUGGGUUUAAAGGGUGCGUAGGCGGACUGAUAAGUCAGUGGUGAAAUCCUGCAGCUUAACUGUAGAACUGCCAUUGAUACUGUUAGUCUUGAGUUUGGUUAAGGUAGGCGGAAUGUGUAAUGUAGCGGUGAAAUGCUUAGAUAUUACACAGAACACCAAUUGCGUAGGCAGCUUACUGAGCCGACACUGACGCUGAGGCACGAAAGCGUGGGGAUCGAACA
rnacentral:rRNA from 1 species